CACACACACACACACACACACACACACACACACACAAACAUACACACCCAGAUUGCUCCAGGAAAGAUGCUCCAACCAGAUGGCAUUUACCGUUUGUGCCAUGCUGGGCUCAGCAGGACAUAAAGCUUAAGAGGUUAGAGCUGUCAAAAAGACUCUGCGCAUAGAGAAAAAGACAAGAUGACCUUUAGGGCCUGCAUCAAGCUUGAGGACACGCUCCAACCACGAGGCAAUUGUUCACCAAUCAAUAUCUCCAUCUAAAACCGAGGAAAUUAUUCAAAUUGCAUUUACAUUAAUGAUUUUCUUUUUUUCAUGGUAAUUUAGGUGAGCAGAUGUUUCAUGGUAGGCAUGCAUGGAAUUGAUUUAUCCUGAAGAGUUCAUCUCAUGUCUUGUCAAAAUGGCAUUAUUGAUUUCAUUGAAUUAGUAGCCUGAAACCUGGAAUUCAAUAGCUUUUAAACCUCUGACUGACAGUUGUGAUUCUGCAUCAUUAGCAUUUUAUAUCAAAUGUCAGUUCUUUACUGUUCUAACCAUACAGCUCUUUACGCAUCAUAU